GAAAUGCGAUACUUGGUGUGAAUUGCAGAAUCCCGUGAACCAUCGAGUCUUUGAACGCAAGUUGCGCCCGAAGCCAUUAGGCCGAGGGCACGCCUGCCUGGGUGUCACACAUCGUUUCCCCAACCACGAGGCGGGUGCUCGCGGGAGGUCAGCAUACACCCCGCGCAGCAA
rnacentral:misc_RNA from 1 species